rnacentral:rRNA from 1 species
GACGAACGCUGGCGGCGUGCUUAACACAUGCAAGUCGAACGGAAAGGCCCGGCUUUUGUGGGGUGCCCGAGUGGCGAACGGGUGAGUAACACGUGAGUAACCUGCCCUUGACUUUGGGAUAACUUCAGGAAACUGGGGCUAAUACCGGAUAGGAGCUCCUGCUGCACGGUGGGGGUUGGAAAGUUUCGGCGGUUGGGGCUGGACUCGCGGCUUAUCAGCUUGUUGGUGGGGUAGUGGCUUACCAAGGCUUGGACGGGUAGCCGGCCUGGGAGGGUGACAGGGCACAGUGGGCCUGGGGUAGGAGCCAGACUGCUACGGGAGGCAGCAGUGGGAGACAUUGCACGAUGGGCGGAAGGCGGAAGCAGCAACGCCGCGUGCGGAAUGACGGCCUUCGGGUUGGAAACCGCUUUCGGCUGUUACGAAGCGUGAGUGACGGUAACGGGUAAAGAAGCACCGGCUAACUACGUG